UUAAGUUAUUAAGGGCGCACGGUGGAUGCCUUGGCACUAGAAGCCGAUGAAGGACGUUACUAACGACGAUAUGCUUUGGGGAGCUGUAAGUAAGCUUUGAUCCAGAGAUUUCCGAAUGGGGAAACCCAGCAUGAGUUAUGUCAUGUUAUCGAUAUGUGAAUACAUAGCAUAUCAGAAGGCACACCCGGAGAACUGAAACAUCUUAGUACCCGGAGGAAGAGAAAGAAAAUUCGAUUCCCUUAGUAGCGGCGAGCGAAACGGGAAGAGCCCAAACCAACAAGCUUGCUUGUUGGGGUUGUAGGACACUCUAUACGGAGUUACAAAGGACGACAUUAGACGAAUCAUCUGGAAAGAUGAAUCAAAGAAGGUAAUAAUCCUGUAGUCGAAAAUGUUGUCUCUCUUGAGUGGAUCCUGAGUACGACGGAGCACGUGAAAUUCCGUCGGAAUCUGGGAGGACCAUCUCCUAAGGCUAAAUACUCUCUAGUGACCGAUAGUGAACCAGUACCGUGAGGGAAAGGUGAAAAGCACCCCGGAAGGGGAGUGAAACAGAACCUGAAACCGUGUGCUUACAAGUAGUCAGAGCCCGUUAAUGGGUGAUGGCGUGCCUUUUGUAGAAUGAACCGGCGAGUUACGAUUUGAUGCAAGGUUAAGCAGUAAAUGUGGAGCCGUAGCGAAAGCGAGUCUGAAUAGGGCGUUUAGUAUUUGGUCGUAGACCCGAAACCAGGUGAUCUACCCUUGGUCAGGUUGAAGUUCAGGUAACACUGAAUGGAGGACCGAACCGACUUACGUUGAAAAGUGAGCGGAUGAACUGAGGGUAGCGGAGAAAUUCCAAUCGAACCUGGAGAUAGCUGGUUCUCUCCGAAAUAGCUUUAGGGCUAGCCUCAAGUGAUGAUUAUUGGAGGUAGAGCACUGUUUGGACGAGGGGCCCCUCUCGGGUUACCGAAUUCAGACAAACUCCGAAUGCCAAUUAAUUUAACUUGGGAGUCAGAACAUGGGUGAUAAGGUCCGUGUUCGAAAGGGAAACAGCCCAGACCACCAGCUAAGGUCCCAAAAUAUAUGUUAAGUGGAAAAGGAUGUGGCGUUGCCCAGACAACUAGGAUGUUGGCUUAGAAGCAGCCAUCAUUUAAAGAGUGCGUAAUAGCUCACUAGUCGAGUGACACUGCGCCGAAAAUGUACCGGGGCUAAACAUAUUACCGAAGCUGUGGAUUGUCCUUUGGACAAUGGUAGGAGAGCGUUCUAAGGGCGUUGAAGCAUGAUCGUAAGGACAUGUGGAGCGCUUAGAAGUGAGAAUGCCGGUGUGAGUAGCGAAAGACGGGUGAGAAUCCCGUCCACCGAUUGACUAAGGUUUCCAGAGGAAGGCUCGUCCGCUCUGGGUUAGUCGGGUCCUAAGCUGAGGCCGACAGGCGUAGGCGAUGGAUAACAGGUUGAUAUUCCUGUACCACCUAUAAUCGUUUUAAUCGAUGGGGGGACGCAGUAGGAUAGGCGAAGCGUGCGAUUGGAUUGCACGUCUAAGCAGUAAGGCUGAGUAUUAGGCAAAUCCGGUACUCGUUAAGGCUGAGCUGUGAUGGGGAGAAGACAUUGUGUCUUCGAGUCGUUGAUUUCACACUGCCGAGAAAAGCCUCUAGAUAGAAAAUAGGUGCCCGUACCGCAAACCGACACAGGUAGUCAAGAUGAGAAUUCUAAGGUGAGCGAGCGAACUCUCGUUAAGGAACUCGGCAAAAUGACCCCGUAACUUCGGGAGAAGGGGUGCUCUUUAGGGUUAACGCCCAGAAGAGCCGCAGUGAAUAGGCCCAAGCGACUGUUUAUCAAAAACACAGGUCUCUGCUAAACCGUAAGGUGAUGUAUAGGGGCUGACGCCUGCCCGGUGCUGGAAGGUUAAGAGGAGUGGUUAGCUUCUGCGAAGCUACGAAUCGAAGCCCCAGUAAACGGCGGCCGUAACUAUAACGGUCCUAAGGUAGCGAAAUUCCUUGUCGGGUAAGUUCCGACCCGCACGAAAGGCGUAACGAUUUGGGCACUGUCUCAACGAGAGACUCGGUGAAAUCAUAGUACCUGUGAAGAUGCAGGUUACCCGCGACAGGACGGAAAGACCCCGUGGAGCUUUACUGUAGCCUGAUAUUGAAAUUCGGCACAGCUUGUACAGGAUAGGUAGGAGCCUUUGAAACGUGAGCGCUAGCUUACGUGGAGGCGCUGGUGGGAUACUACCCUAGCUGUGUUGGCUUUCUAACCCGCACCACUUAUCGUGGUGGGAGACAGUGUCAGGCGGGCAGUUUGACUGGGGCGGUCGCCUCCUAAAAGGUAACGGAGGCGCUCAAAGGUUCCCUCAGAAUGGUUGGAAAUCAUUCAUAGAGUGUAAAGGCAUAAGGGAGCUUGACUGCGAGACCUACAAGUCGAGCAGGGUCGAAAGACGGACUUAGUGAUCCGGUGGUUCCGCAUGGAAGGGCCAUCGCUCAACGGAUAAAAGCUACCCCGGGGAUAACAGGCUUAUCUCCCCCAAGAGUUCACAUCGACGGGGAGGUUUGGCACCUCGAUGUCGGCUCAUCGCAUCCUGGGGCUGUAGUCGGUCCCAAGGGUUGGGCUGUUCGCCCAUUAAAGCGGUACGCGAGCUGGGUUCAGAACGUCGUGAGACAGUUCGGUCCCUAUCCGUCGUGGGCGUAGGAAAUUUGAGAGGAGCUGUCCUUAGUACGAGAGGACCGGGAUGGACAUACCUCUGGUGUACCAGUUGUCGUGCCAACGGCAUAGCUGGGUAGCUAUGUGUGGACGGGAUAAGUGCUGAAAGCAUCUAAGCAUGAAGCCCCCCUCAAGAUGAGAUUUCCCAACUUCGGUUAUAAGAUCCCUCAAAGAUGAUGAGGUUAAUAGGUUCGAGGUGGAAGCAUGGUGACAUGUGGAGCUGACGAAUACUAAUCGAUCGAAGACUUAAUCAA
rnacentral:rRNA from 5 species